rnacentral:tRNA from 1 species
AAAAAGAUAAGCUAAUUAAGCUAAUGGGCUCAUACCUCACAAAUAAAGGUACUAAUCCUUUUCUUUUUA